GCCCAUAAAUUCCGGACAACGCUUGSCCCUACGUAUUACCGCGGCUGUGGCACGUAGUUAGCCGGCGCUUCUUCUGCAGGUACCGUCACUUUCGCUUCUUCCCUGCUGAAAGAGGUUUACAACCCGAAGGCCUUCAUCCCUCACGCGGCGUCGCUGCAUCAGGCUUUCGCCCAUUGUGCAAUAUUCCCCACUGCUGCCUCCCGUAGGAGUCUGGGCCGUGUCUCAGUCCCAGUGUGGCCGGUCGCCCUCUCAGGCCGGCUACCCGUCGUCGCCUUGGUGAGCCGUUACCUCACCAACUAGCUGAUAGGCCGCGGGCCUAUCCUUCACCGCCGGAGCUUUCCACCCGCCGAGAUGCCUCGGCAGGUCGUAUCCGGUAUUAGACCCCGUUUCCAGGGCUUGUCCCAGAGUGAAGGGCAGAUUGCCCACGUGUUACUCACCCGUUCGCCACUAAUCCCCACCGAAGUGGUUCAUCGUUCGACUUGCAUGUGUUAAGCACGCCGCCAGCGUUCGUCCUGAGCCAUAAUCAAACUCU
rnacentral:rRNA from 1 species